UCCCAGAUCACCUGUUGUAUCAGGUUUAUGC
rnacentral:piRNA from 1 species